AUUGAACGCUGGCGGCAGGCCUAACACAUGCAAGUCGGACGAGUGGCGGACGGGUGAGUAAUGGCUGGGAAAAUGCCUGCUGGAGGGGGAUAACUACUGGAAACGGUAGAUAAUACCGCAUACCAUCGGAUGUGCCCAGAUGGGAUUAGCUAGUAGGUGGGGUAACGGCUCACCUAGGAGACGCUCCCUAGCUGGUCUGAGAGGAUGACCAGCCACGCUGGAACGGGGACACGGUCCAGACUCCUACGGUGGGCAGCAGUGGGGAAUAUUGCACAAGGGGCGCAAGCCUGAUGCAGCCAUGCCGCGGGUAUGAAGAAGGCCUGCGGGUUGUAAAGUACUUUCAGCGGGGAGGCGGUACUCGCAGAAGAAGCACCGGCUAACUCCGUGCCAGCAGCCGCGGUAAUAC
rnacentral:rRNA from 1 species